CGAUUUCGACACGCCUGAAAAAUUUUUGCGUCAUCUGGUGAACACUGGUAAAAUCACGAUGCUAUAACAUACGUGAACUUCGUUGUAUCUUCUAUCGUCGCAAAUAUUUAUUAUUUUUGUAUUAUUUAUUUAAAUACGAGCAAUAUAAAUACAACAUUUAUCAUUGCUAGUUAUAUUACGUUCUUUACCAAGUUCGAAAAACAGAGUGCGAUCAGAGAAUCUGAAACUCGUUGCAUUGCCGCCAAAAAUCAUAGCAAUUUCUUUCGAUUUCUUAACAGAUAUUAAAGGAAAAACAAACGACAACAGCAUUCGUAUUUUACGUAGUCUCGUUGUUGUGAUUCACUCCGUACGAAUAGAGUGCGUGAUAAACAAGAUAAACUCGGAAAUUUAGAUAUCGUACAAAGUCGUAAGAAAGCAAAACGUGAAUCACUACUUGUAGAUAUUUUUUGUCGCGAUAAAUUAAUAAAUGAAUAAAUUGUGGAACAGGAACGGUUUAGGGAAAAAUUUUCUAACAGUUCACCAUGUACAAUGUGUAAUAUUUUAUCAAGGUAAAAAAUCAAUAAUUUUACAAUAGCAGAAGCACAAUUGUUUUCGUACAAUUGUAUCUUAUUUAACGCGUUGACUUCACCUUGUUAAUGUAGUUUACAAUUAUGAUAAAAUUAACGUACAGGGCGGUCCAAAAAGCACGGUAAAAAUGCUAACUUUCCCAAAACAUUUAGAAUGGGCUCUCAGGAAUCAAAUGCGAAGAAAAGUCUGAUUAAAAUGCUUAAAACUGUUCGUAAUGUUAUUCGUCAAGAAAGUACAAAAUUUUUGUACUUGGAAUUAUGUCUUUAUUAAAAACUGCGCAUAAUACUCAAUAUCCUUGGAACGCCUUGUAUAACAUUCGUUCAAAGAUUACCACCGCACGAUAAAAACAUGUUUUUCGGGAAGUGGUCAAAUCAAAGUAUAAAAAAAAAAAAAA